rnacentral:rRNA from 1 species
UACAGAGGUCUCAAGCGUUGUUCGGAUUCAUUGGGCGUAAAGGGUGCGUAGGCGGCGCGGUAAGUCGGGUGUGAAAUCUCGGAGCUUAACUCCGAAACUGCAUUCGAUACUGCCGUGCUUGAGGACUGGAGAGGAGACUGGAAUUCCCGGUGUAGCGGUGAAAUGUGUAGAGAUCGGGAGGAACACCGGUGGCGAAGGCGGGUCUCUGGGCAAUUCCUGACGCUGAGGCGCGAAAGCCAGGGGAGCAAACGGG